rnacentral:other from 1 species
AACACCCUGGGAUAUUGGCUAGGCCGUCUAGACCCCUGAGCCGAUGCUUUUUACCCCGGAACAAACCAGUCGGUACUUGUGUGCAUGUCCGCGUGACGGAAAGCCUUAUAGUGCCACGGCGAGUUCCACCUUGAACCGCUGGGUUCAAGGGCCACGCGGCCGGCGGUAUCUCGGGGCCCUU